ACCACGCCCCCUUCCUCCUUUUUAUCAUUUCUCUGGCUCCUCCCACUUUUAACCUUUUAAAUUCUCUCUCUCUUCCUCUCUCUGAAAUUCUAGGGUUUUUAAUUUUGUUUGAUUUCUCAAAUUUCCCGAAUAAUCACUUCUUCAAAUCAUUUCUAGGGUUUCUUUUCGAUGGAGUCGAUUAGGUCACCCUAUUGGUGUUACAGAUGCAACCGGUUCAUCAGGAUCCGGGUCCGAUCCCCCCAAGAUUCGAUCCAUUGCCCCGAUUGCGGCGGCGGCUUCAUUGAAGAAAUUGAAACACCCUCUCGAUCUCCCAUCCACCAACGUUUCCCAGCCGCUGCCAUGUACUCUGACACUCCCAGCCCAGCUCUGAGCCCUAGCCCCACUGCUACUCCUCGUUUCCGCCGAGCUCGUCGAAACGCUGGCGAUCGGUCCCCUUUCAACCCCGUUGUUGUCCUCCGUGGACCCAGCUCGGAAACCGACGGCGUAGCUCCUGAAAGAGGAAAUAACAAUUUCGAGCUUUAUUACGAUGAUGGGUCCGGGUCGGGUCUUCGUCCCUUACCUGCUAGCAUGUCGGAAUUUUUAAUGGGUUCGGGUUUUGAUCGGCUUCUUGAUCAAUUAUCUCAAUUAGAAGUAAACGGUGUCGCUCGUUUCGAACAACCGCCUGCUUCGAAAGCGGCGAUUGAAUCAAUGCCAGUGAUUAAGAUCGUUGGAAGUCACGUUAGCACGGAAUCUCACUGUGCCGUUUGUAAAGAGCCUUUCGAGCUCGAUUCUGAAGCUCGGGAAAUGCCUUGUAAGCAUAUUUAUCAUUCGGAUUGUAUUUUACCUUGGCUUUCAAUUCGAAACUCUUGUCCAGUUUGCCGCCAUGAGUUGCCAACGGAAAGUAGCGGAAAUAAUUUAGGGGAAAACGAGGCGGUUAGAGACGAAGAAGCUGUGGGGUUAACCAUAUGGAGGUUACCGGGAGGUGGGUUUGCGGUGGGCAGGUUUACUGGAGGGAGGAGAGCGGCGGAGAGGGAGUUUCCGGUAGUGUUUACGGAGAUGGAUGGGGGGUUUAAUAAUGCGGGUGCUCCUAGAAGGAUUUCGUGGGCGCCUAGUGGGAGAAGGUCGCAAGAGAGUAGAGGAUUGGGGCGGGUUUUUCGGAGUUUUAUUUCGUUUUUCGGGAGGUUUAGGAGUUCUUCAUCUCGUUCAGGUUCGGAUUCUGGGUUUACGAGGAGAAGUAGAUCGAGUUCAGUGUUUGAUAGGUCAUCUAGAAGGGAUAGCGACUGGGAUUUCGAGGAUUGAAGGAUGGUUGAGUGUAUUUUUUGUUUAUUUUUAGGUUAACCUUUUUUUUUCCUUUUUUAAUCUGAUACAAUAAUGUUGCAGUUUUCCUCAAGGGAAGGAAUGUUUGUAGAUUGUAUGAUUUUACUUUGAUGUAAAUAACAACACUUUUGGUGAAGGAAUGAAGAUUGCUCAAGUUUACUUUCUGUCAAAAGAGAAAGAAGUUUUGAACUGGUUGGAGCCGUUAUGUAUCCCAAUGAGGCAGAAGAAGAAGAAGAAGAAGAAAUGGAUGAAGGAGAAAGUUUUGUGCUUUGUAUGAACCUUCAGAGGUCACUGAGGCAUUUGCUUCUUCAGUGGAUGUGAGUUUGAAUGGUAAAAAUUAGCAGUCAUAUGAUGCUUUUAUUUCACAGAAGUUAUCUUGGAGAAAGACGGCCAAACGCCGCAAUCAAGAAUUUCUGCUUUGUAGAAAAGUUAGGAGGCAGAUAUAUAGAUCUUGUUUCCAGUAGUUUUCAAUCACAGUUGUUCCAAUGUGAAUGUAUGAUGUAGAUCUCCAUUUCUUUUAUAUGCUUGGCAUGUUAUAAGUAUUGAUGUUUUUCUUUGAUUUUCUUAGUAUUCUCAAAUUAGAAGGCCAGUUAAAGUGCCUUUGUGAUUACUUGUAAUUGUCAUGCCUCUGUCUCUUUUGUUCACGGACUGGGAUCUUGAUCUUGAAAAAUUGUGAUGUAAAGUUUUCGAAAAUUCGAUUGAUGAUUUAACCAUCUAUAUCUAUAUAAAGAAUCCUUUUGAUCAACAGUUCUCCACUAUUAACUUGUGUUUUGUGUAGACAUUCAGGGUCAAUGUUGUCAACACUUUGUUGGACAUCAUGCGUGUGGUGAAAUAAUGUUGAUUACUAGUAUUCAUUCAUUUUAGGUUGAAAUAUUUGACAGCAGAACCCGUAGUCAGAAUCUAAUCCAGUUCAACUAGUUUGCGACUUUGUGUUAACUGACUUACAGAAGUAAAUGCUAACGGUUGUUGUCGUUGGCACUUGGGCAUACUGCUGUCAUAAUUGUUACCAAGGCUCGUUAUGGAAAUGUGGCAUGUGAAGGUCAAUUUUGGCUUUUGAAAUGUUUGGUUUUCUGUCGGAAAUAGCAUCAAACUGGCAAUGUGGAUGUUUUUUUAUAGAAGUUAGCCUCUCUGUUGAGUGUUUGCAUGACUGGCAGAAGGUAGUGUAGAGGUUUGUGUGUCUGAACUGCCAAUUUGGGAUUACUCAUUGCAUAUGAUCAAGAAUCAGGGCGUUUGAGCAUUAUUCAAGAAUAUUCACUACAUAGGUGCUACUCUAUUCCUCUGUUUUUGUUGCUGUACAUGAAUUUAACAGAACCAUUGGAGCGAACUUGAUACAUGAUAAACUCAAAAUUUGGUCGUCAGCCAACGUAAAUUGAUUGGAUAAUGGAAAACCCAUUUUCAAAAGUCACUUUCUCUUUUGAUCAUCAUCCAUUAAAGGGUGAAAAUGGCUCACCAAUCAAUGGAAUAAAUGGGGAAGGGAAUCAUUUUUUGGGUUUCGUACAGCAUUGCUC